UUCCGGUUGAUCCUGCCGGACCUGACUGCUAUCGGAUUGAUACUAAGCCAUGCGAGUCUUUGCAGUAAUGCAAGGCAUACGGCUCAGUAACACGUAGUCAACUUACCCUAUGGACGAGGAUAAUCUCGGGAAACUGAGCAUAAUACUCGAUAGAUCAUAAUGCCUGGAAUGGUUUAUGGUUAAAAUGAUUCGUCGCCAUAGGAUGGGACUGCGGCCUAUCAGCUUGUUGGUGAGGUAAUGGCCCACCAAGGCGAUUACAGGUACGGGCUCUGAGAGGAGAAGCCCGGAGAUGGGUACUGAGACAAGGACCCAGGCCCUAUGGGGCGCAGCAGGCGAGAAAACUUUGCAAUGUGCGAAAGCACGACAAGGUUAAUCCGAGUGAUUUCUGCUAAAGAAAUCUUUUGCAAGUCAUAAAACCACUAGUGAAUAAGGGGUGGGCAAGUUCUGGUGUCAGCCGCCGCGGUAAAACCAGCACCUCAAGUGGUCAGGAGGAUUAUUGGGCCUAAAGCAUCCGUAGCCGGCUCUGUAAGUUUUCGGUUAAAUCUAUGCGCUCAACGUAUGGGCUGCCGAAAAUACUGCAGAGAUAGGGAGUGGGAGAGGUAGACGGUACUCGGUAGGAAGGGGUAAAAUCCUUUGAUCUAUCGAUGACCACCUGUGGCGAAGGCGGUCUACCAGAACACGUUCGACGGUGAGGGAUGAAAGCUGGGGGAGCAAACCGGAUUAGAUACCCGGGUAGUCCCAGCUGUAAACGAUGCAGACUCGAUGAUGCAUUGGCAUAUAGCCAGUGCAGUGUCGCAGGGAAGCCGUUAAGUCUGCCGCCUGGGAAGUACGUACGCAAGUAUGAAACUUAAAGGAAUUGGCGGGGGAGCACCACAAGGGGUGAAGCCUGCGGUUCAAUUGGAUUCAACGCCGGG
rnacentral:rRNA from 1 species